ACUCUUCAACCCACCAGUUUCUAGUUAAACUGCGUGGCGCUUGGAUCCUGAGCGCUUGCUCCGCUUCUUCCAGAGCUCGUUCGUAAUACAUUAGCUUUCUUGACUCGAAUCGGAUUGACUCGGCGUAAUAGACUAUUCGCUGAGGACAAGCUUCGCGCUUGGCCGGCUCGAUUGUCAGAUGAAGGCUUCUAGUCUCGUCAAUUUUUAAG